rnacentral:snRNA from 1 species
GCCCUUUGUCGCUAAGAUUCGAC